CUGCGGCUGGAUCACCUCCU
rnacentral:rRNA from 1 species